UACGAAGGGAGCUAGCGUUGUUCGGAAUCACUGGGCGUAAAGCGCCCGUAGGCGGAUGUGUCAGUCAGGGGUGAAAUCCCGGAGCUCAACUUCGGAACUGCCCUUGAUACAGCACGUCUUGAGUCCGGAAGAGGUGGGUGGAAUUCCUAGUGUAGAGGUGAAAUUCGUAGAUAUUAGGAAGAACACCGGUGGCGAAGGCGGCCCACUGGUCCGGUACUGACGCUGAGGUGCGAAAGCGUGGGGAGCAAACAGG
rnacentral:rRNA from 1 species